CACGUAUUUAGCCGGUGCUUCUAUUCAGGUACCGUCAUUUCUUCUUCCCUGCCGAUAGAGCUUUACAUACCGAAAUACUUCCUCGCCCACGCGGCGUCGCUGCAUCAGGGUUCCCCCCAUUGUGCAAUAUUCCCCACUGCUGCCUCCCGCAGGAGUCUGGGCCGUGUCUCAGUCCCAAUGUGGCCGGCCGCCCUCUCAGGCCGGCUACUGAUCGUCGGUUUGGUGGGCCGCUGCCCCCGCCAACUGCCUAAUCAGACGCGGGCCCAUCCCAUACCACCGGAGUUUUCCGCUGGGAGCCAUGCGGCCCCAGCGCUUAUGCGGUGUUAGCAGCCGUUUCCGGCUGUUACUCCCCCGGUAUGGGGCAGGUUGCCCACGCGUUACUCCACCCGUCCGCCACUAGGCCGCGGGGUCUCCGUCCCCGAGGGACUUCCUCCCCGCCGCCCCGUUCGCUUGCAUGUGUUAAGCACGCCGCCAGCGUUCAUCCUGACGCCAGGACUCAAACUCU
rnacentral:rRNA from 1 species